UUCCUCCUGGCUGCAGGCGACAGAGCUGAGCCAAGCGUUUACUGGGCAGCUGUUGUGGUAAGUGAGGAGGGGCUGGGGUGCCCAGCGUUUUGGAUCUCCCAUUCUGGCCCGGCCCCGUAAUACCACAUAGAGGCCUUGGGACCUGAUUCAUCCCGUCCAGACAGCCCUAGAGACCUGAGCGACUGAGGCCUGGGAUCUGGACGCCGGAAUUUCCUGCGCGGUUCUGGACGCCCUGCCCUGGGGCAGGAUAGUAUUUGAUAAAAACAUGGAUUCUGGAGCAGCACAGAUCUGGUUUCCAUUCAAGGAUUCCCCACAUAUCAAUAAUGUGCCCUGGAGCAAGUUACCCUUCUGAACCUGUUUUUUCAUCUGUAAAAUGCGCAGAUUCCAAAUGAAAAUGUUUGAGAGCGCUGACUCUACAGCCACAAGAUCUGGCCAUGAUCUCUGGGCUGAAAUUUGUUCCUGUCUGCCAAAUCCUGACCAAGAAGAUGGUACCAACAAUUCCUUCUCAGACUCCUUUAUGGAUUCUUACCCUGAAGGUGAAGGCCAGAGGGAGGUGGCUGACUUUGCCGUCCAGCCAGCUGUAAAGCCUUGGGCUCCCUUGCAGGAUUCAGAAGUGUAUUUAGCAUCUCUAGAGAAGAAGCUAAGAAGAAUCAAAGGUUUAAAUCAGGAAGUGACUUCCAAGGACAUGCUUCGAACUCUGGCCCAAGCCAAGAAGGAAUGCUGGGAUCGGUUCCUCCAGGAGAAGUUAGCUUCAGAGUUCUUUGUGGAUGGACUUGAUUCUGAUGAGAGCACCUUGGAACAUUUCAAGAGGUGGCUCCAGCCGGAUAAAGUAGCCGUCAGCACAGAGGAGGUCCAGUAUCUGAUUCCUCCAGAGUCACAGGUUGAGAAGCCAGUGGCCAAGGACGAGCCAGCAGCCGGGGACAAACCAGCAGCAGCAGAACAGUAACUUACACACUCACACACGUGGAGCAGCUGUCUCGGGUCCAGAGGGAGCAGCAUGGAGCUCAGCGGCAGCAGCAGGGAGAAAUCCACUGAGGGAAAAAACCCAAAUUUCACUCCACAAAGAAAACAGCUGCAAGCCCCCAGGGACUUACUUGGGGCUGGCAUGUGUGACUGUCUUGGGUGAAGUGACUGACCCAGUGCACGCUGGAUCAAAAUGCUGCUUUCCUCUGUGUCUCAGCUUGACUGAGCUCUGUCACUGCAGAUUAGAAGUCUGCUAAAGAUCAAAUGUGAAAGUACUUGGAGAAACUGAGGCCCCUCAUGUGUAAUGUGAUACAUGUGACACAGAGAGUGGCUCUCUGUGGCUCCUGGGCACGUUGAGGAAGCCAGAGUCCCGCUCUGGUCCAGGCUUGCAGGCUGCCAUCUCCACCUGGAGUUCAGAUGCCGGGCCUCACUCCACUCCAGGAAUGAUGGCUGUCAGGAUGGAUUUUUUAAAGAAAGAGAAACUAAAAUUUUUCUUUUCCCUGGAUGAUGAACAAAAAUUAUUCUUCCUCAGAGACAACAAUUUAAGAAAAAAAACGAGGUCCCAAAACACUCUCCCAAACUGCAGAUCAUGGGACGGUAAGAGAAUAUUUCUAUCCCCGAAAACAGUGUUUCUGUCAUUCAGGCAAGGUUCUAGCUUUGCCUUUUCCCUACUUCCCAUUUCCUACCGCAGAAACAGAAAUCGGAAUAUGAGAGCGUGGAGAAUCGCUUUAGAGGAACUGAAACGGAGUUGUAAGUUGAACGGUUUCUAGCCCAUGUGUAAACCUGGGUGCGGUGUGAGAGGAGCUCUGCAUGACUCCACGGAAGGGAACCCAGUGAGUUGUAGCUAUAGUUUCUUAAUUGAUUUAGCGGUGACAGCUUAAACAAUGGCUCUAAAAAAAUGACUCUUAAAAAAAAAGCCCAACCAGCUUUGGCCCUACUUCAGUUGUAAGACUCAAGACAGGAUACUGCCUUUGGGGUGUUAGGUCUGUGCAAGGGCUGUUUACUUGAACCCAGAAAUAGGUUAUUUAAGGCAGAGAUUCAUUUAUCUAACCAGUAUUUGUUGAGCCCCUGCCAUGUUCCAUUUACCAAAACCAAAUUUGACACUGGCUCCCAAAGCUAACUUGUUAAUAUAGAUUUAUCUUAGGCUAGUGAAGUGGCACUACAUUGGAAACUGAGAGUCUUUUGAGUGCUGUCUUUUAUCUGUCUUGUGGCUUACUGAAUGGUCAUAAAUAAGUCAAGUGACCUCUUCAUGUUCCAGUUCCUUUUUAGUAAUGGGACUAACCACAGGAAAAAAAUAGUAUUGGCCCAAAAUGCUGAUCUGUUUCCUUUGACCCUGAAAACUCCAAGGAACUCCAGUUAGGGCUUCCUCAACCCAGUUAAGAUUUAUAAGUUGGUGGAGAGUCUUACUUAUCACCCCCGACUUUCUUCCUUCUUCCUCCUUAGUGAAAUAGGCAGCAAGUUAGAGCAAAUGGAGCAAUAUUUAGUGCUAAGCCUUAGAGCCGGGGAGGGUAAUCACCAACAGGGGCCAAGCUGUAAUGACUUGGUACACCCAGAGAAGGCUGGGCUGCAGCCAGGCAGAUCACCUGAGGGACUGCCGCUGUUCUCUCCCAGCACACACACGUGCUCAUCACUCAGUGCCUGGUGCGAUCCUGACUGGAGUGACACAGGCAUGCAUCCAAUACCUGAUGCAGAAAUAGGCCCUGGCUGUAGGCAAAGCAAGUAAACAAACGUCCCGCCAGCUGUGGCCGAGGUGCACCCUUCCAGGCAGACCUGCCCACCAGAACCACUGCUGGAAGACGGAAGCCCUGGAGCCUCUCCCUGGCCCUGUUUUGGAAGGAGUCCUCCAAGGCUGAGAAUAGCCCCAGCCACAUGAAGCAGGCAAGGUUUUCUUGAAAAUUCUAAAUUAUCCAAACCAGCUUUGGCCCUACUUUAGUUAUAAGACUCAAGAUAGGAUACUGCCAUUGGGAUGUUAGGUGGGUGUGAGGACUGUUUACUUGAACCCAGAAAUAGGUUAUUUAAGGCAGAGAUUCAUUCAUCUAACCAAUAGUUGUUGAGCCCCUGCCAUGUUCUAGGCACUGUGCAUGGUGUUAAAUAAAGCAGAACGGCAUCUUCCCACACAGAAUGAUGGAGGGGGGAAUAGAGUCUACCUCAUUAAUUCUGUGGAAGGUGUAAGCACAAGGUGCUUUGAGAGCACGUGGGAAGGAGAUAUGAGAGCCCUAGACCAGUUGGAGUGGGGUAGGAGAGAGGCCGUGUUGGGGCAGCUGAGUCCCUAGAAAUGAUAGGAGUGAGAGGAAAUAGAAGAGUAAGAGCAUGGGGACCAAGAACAGUCCCAGAAGACGAAAACAGCAUGUACAAAGGCCUGAAGGCAAAAGGGAACUUGGAAGAUGGAAGGUAGUUCAGUGUAGCUGGAGCACAAAGAACAAAGGAGGGACAGACAAGAGGUAAGGGUGGAAAUUACUAAACAAGGCCAGGUGUGAAGGGUUUUAUAAACCACGUUAAGGAGUUUGGAGUUUAUUGUGGGAGAACAGGAAGGGCUGAUUUUAAGAGGGGCAGUGACAAAAUAAGAUUUACAUCUAGAAGGUUACGGCUGCCAUGGGUAUGCCAUAAUUAAAGUGAUUGCGGGUGGACAAGUCACUCACGCUUGGCAGCGAUACAUGUCUAUGCGAAAUGGUUUUUCUUUGUUUUUAUUUUCUACUUCAAUUUUUAUUGUUAUUUUUUCACUAUUACAGAACAAGUAGAAUCAUGUAUGGCAGACUGUGUUUUCCAAAGAUGGCCAGAUCAGUGGAUCCCAUCCCACUCAUUCAUGUUCCAGUGUGAUGUGGACACUCCUCCACUGAGAUCUUCGGUCAAUAUUUCCUCCCUUUGAACCCGGACAGACCUAUGUAACUGCCUUGCUAAUAGAGUACAGCACAAAUAACGGGACUUCUGAGGCAAGGUCAGAAAAGCACUCCGCCUGGGGUCUCUCUGUCUCUCAGCAUGCUCCUUGGUAGUUCUGAGCCGGCAUGUAAGAAGUCGGCCACAGAGAGACAGAGAAGCCCAGGGAGUCCCAGCUGUUUGAGUCUUCCCGCCCCAGGCAUCAGACAGAUAAGUAAGUAAUUCAGAUGAUUUCAUCCCCCAGCUUUUAAGCUGUCCCAAGUGACACCAGGUGGUUUAGAGACAAACUGUCCCUGCAAAGCCCUGCAGAUUCACGAGCAAAAUAAAUGUCGUGUUUUAAACCACUAAGUUUUGGGUGGAUUUGUUACUCAGCAAUAGAUAACCAAUGCACCGUAAGCUAAGUUUCAGGUUUUAAGUAGCUAAUUUUAAAGUAUUUUAUUUUGCAGUCCCAUCUAGUCUGCGAUGGUUGCAGAAUUUAAUACUUAUGCUGGCUACAGUAGGGAGAGGGGCAAAAUUUGACGCGAGAGACCAGCUGUGAGGUGGUUGCGGUUGUCUAAGAAAGAGAUGAUAGGCCGGGCGCGGUGGCUCACGCCUGUAAUCCCAGCACUUUG